rnacentral:lncRNA from 1 species
UCCUCCCUCCCUCAUCCCGGGGAUGCUGAACCUCCACCCACUUUCAAAGCUCUUGCCUUCCUCUUGAGGUAGGUAGCUGCUGACAGAUACUCGGUAGUAAUUGCCAACAGGCAGUGAAGCCUUUUUUAAUGUGACUCCUUGAAACAAAUAAAGGGAAAGAGGGUUUGGGGGGAGGAAAAGGAAGAACCCCGGAACUCACCCAGCACAACAGUGAUGUCUUCAAAGCUGCGCAGGUGCAGCAGAUACACAAUGAUGCCUUCACACCUUGGAGCCAGCUUCCUCCGCAGUGAUGCUCAAGCCACAUGACGCAAAUCCCAUCUGAUACUGUCUUCUGGAACAUGCAUGGAAAAUGCCAGCAGCAAGAAUGCCAUCCUGUACAUCAGAAGUUCUUAACCUCGGGUGAAGAAACUGAGACUCAAGGAAGUUGUGAAGAGAGGUGGUACGAUUUACCAGAUAGAAGACCAACUCUGUAAUCAGGAACAUCUGGAUUCAAGUCCUAUUUCAGACAUAUUAAUUCUAUAACCACAGACAAGUUAUUCAGCCUCUCCAUGCAUCAGUGAAGGAAGUUGUUCUUUAAGAGUUUCCUACAUUAAUGAAAUCAGAGAUCCUAGCAUCAUCAUCAUCAUUGUCAUCAUUAUCAUCACCAUCACCAUCAUCACAUCAACUUUGUUGAUUUAAGAGAAA